rnacentral:rRNA from 1 species
GACGAACGCUGGCGGCGUGCUUAACACAUGCAAGUCGAACGGAAAGGCCCUGCUUUUGUGGGGUGCUCGAGUGGCGAACGGGUGAGUAACACGUGAGUAACCUGCCCUUGACUUUGGGAUAACUUCAGGAAACUGGGGCUAAUACCGGAUAGGAGCUCCUGCUGCAUGGUGGGGGUUGGAAAGUUUCGGCGGUUGGGGAUGGACUCGGGGCUUAUCAGCUUGUUGGUGGGGUAGUGGCUUACCAAGGCUUUGACGGGUAGCCGGCCUGAGAGGGUGACCGGGCACAUGGGGACUGAGAGACGGCCCAGACUCGUACGGGAGGCAGCAGUGGGGAAUAUUGCACAAUGGGCGGAAGCCUGAUGCAGCAACGCCGCGUGCGGGAUGACGGCCUUCGGGUUGUAAACCGCUUUAGCCUGUGACGAAGCGGGAGUGACGGUAAUGGGUAAAGAAGCACCGGCUAACUACGUG